rnacentral:snRNA from 1 species
AGCUUUGCGCAGUGGCAGUAUCGUAGCCAAUGAGGUUUAUCUGAGGCGCGAUUAUUGUUAAUUGAAAAAUAAAAUUUACUGAACUGUAUAUUGAGUGCUACAUUUUGAUUUUUUUCACAUAAUAUUAU